rnacentral:rRNA from 1 species
AUUGAACGCUGGCGGCAGGCCUAACACAUGCAAGUCGAGCGGAGCGGCGGACGGGUGAGUAAUGCCUAGGAAUCUGCCUGGUAGUGGGGGAUAACGUCCGGAAACGGGCGCUAAUACAGCAUACUAGCAGAUGAGCCUAGGUCGGAUUAGCUAGUUGGUGGGGUAAAGGCCUACCACGGCGACGAUCCGUAACUGUUCUGAGAGGAUGAUCAGUCACACUGGAACUGAGACACGGUCCAGCCUCCUACGGGAGGCAGCAGUGGGGAAUAUUGGACAAUGGGCGCAGGCCUGAUCCAGCCAUGCCGCGUGUGUGAAGAAGGUCUUCGGAUUGUAAAGCUCUUUAAGUUGGGAGGCGUUACCUACAGAGUAAGCACCGGCUAACUUCGUGCCAGCAGCCGCGGUAAUAC